rnacentral:lncRNA from 1 species
AGAUUUCGAAAGAAAAAAAAAAAAAAUCAUCACAAAUUUGUUUUGUUCUGCGAAAGGAUGGUUUGAUCUAUACCUUCAAAUUGCAGUCAGAUAACGCUAUCACUCCAGUGGCCUUCCAUCUUUCAAAACGGCUUUUAUCUACAGGUACACGCUGUUUCUCAUCAACCAAUUUACUCGCAUUUUGCACACUCCUUUCUCUGGGACGAGUUCUCGCUUCUCGAAGGAUAGGGCCAUCCUAUUCAAUCAAAUCCAAAGAGAGAACUAAUUGCAAAAUGCCUAAUCUCAAAUCCACCAAUGUCCAAAUGAAAACAUAUAACAAUAUACAUUCCAUUUAAUUUUCAACUGCAAAUCAAAUAUACGAUGAAUCCACAAAGCUUAACAGACGAACCAUCUUUGUGGCAGUUUUAACAAAUUAACCCUAAGAAGUAACACAAGCGGAAGAGAGAUGUAAUAGGAGAGAUUGAAAUAAAGAUUUAGCAAAAUUGAAAUCCAGAUGCAAGAAAUAAGAAUUCAAUUGAAAAUGAAACGAAUUACCCCUUGGUGUAGUCCCUGAGAAGCCAUGAGCAUCAUUUUCGCUCCAUUAGCCACCUCCGACGCCGCCAACGUCAUCUCGUCCGCCAAAACCUUCCCUGAAAUCACAUAUCACGA